rnacentral:rRNA from 1 species
GACGAACGCUGGCGGCGUGCCUAACACAUGCAAGUCGAACGGAGAUAGUUAAUGAAGCUUGCGAUUUAGCUAUCUUAGUGGCGAACGGGUGAGUAACGCGUGGGUAACCUGCCCUUAAGACCGGGACAACAGCUGGAAACGGCUGCUAAUACCGGAUGUAUUGUCCGAGAGGCAUCUCUUGGAGAAGAAAGCUGGCCUCUGAAAAUGCUAGCGCUUAGGGAUGGACCCGCGUCUGAUUAGCUAGUUGGUGGGGUAGAGGCCUACCAAGGCGACGAUCAGUAGCCGGCCUGAGAGGGUAAACGGCCACACUGGGACUGAGACACGGCCCAGACUCCUACGGGAGGCAGCAGUGGGGAAUCUUCCGCAAUGGACGAAAGUCUGACGGAGCAACGCCGCGUGUAUGAAGAAGGCCUUCGGGUUGUAAAAUACUGUUGUUAGGGAAGAACGGCAUCUGUGUAAAUAAUGCAGGUGAUUGACGGUACCUAACGAGGAAGCCCCGGCUAACUACGUGCCAGCAGCCGCGGUAAUACGUAGGGGGCAAGCGUUGUCCGGAAUCAUUAGGCGUAAAGGGCGCGUAGGCGGCAAUAUAAGUCUGAUGUGAAAGUGCGGAGCUUAACU